ACGCUCGACACCUACGGGAGCAGCAGUGGGGAAUAUUGCACAAUGGGGGAAACCCUGAUGCAGCGACGCCGCGUGGAGGAAGAAGGUCUUCGGAUUGUAAACUCCUGUUGUUGGGGAAAAAGAGGAUGGUACCCAACAAGGAAGUGACGGCUAACUACGUGCCAGCAGCCGUGGUAAUCUGAGCGGGCUGGCAAGGC
rnacentral:rRNA from 1 species